ensembl:lncRNA
CCUCAAUAAAACACAUCAGCAUAUUACAAAAGUCUGAAACAAAUCCCUACCGGCCCCCUACUGUGACACCAACAGAGUUGAAUGAUUGAUGAAACUACUACAAAUGUUUUGGCAAAUGAUUAUAUUCAUUCCAUAAUACCUAGAAAUAACUUCAACUGGAGACAGUCAAUGUUUGAGAGCAACAGGGAUUGAUAGGAAUUAUUAAUCCUUCAAACACGGGAAAAGCGCUCAGUUUUUAUUCCUGUACUAUCAAUGACCCUGGCUACAGACCAGCCACGGCCACUUUCGAUACAGGACACGCACACACCCACACACACAGACACACACACACACACAGACACACACACACACACACACAAACAGUUACCUGCAGAACCAGGGUCCAACAUGGAGCAAAGCAGGAGCCCAGACUGCUUCAUACGGACCACCACCUGGC